CCUACGGGAGGCAGCAGUGAGGAAUUUUCUGCAAUGGGCGAAAGCCUGACAGAGCAAUACCGCGUGAGGGAUGAAGACUUACUGAGUUGUAAACCUCGGUGCCUUAAGGAAGAAGAUAUGACGGUACUUAAGGUGGAAAGCAUCGGCUAACUCCGUGCCAGCAGCCGCGGUAAGACGGGGGAUGCAAGUGUUAUCCGGAAUUACUGGGCGUAAAGCGUCUGCAGGUGGUUUCCUAAGUCUACUGUUAAACCUUGAGGCUCAACCUCAAAUCUGCAGUGGAAACUAGGAGACUUGAGUAUAGUAGGGGUAGAGGGAAUUUCCAGUGGAGCGGUGAAAUGCGUAGAUAUUGGAAAGAACACCGAUGGCGAAGGCACUCUACUGGGCUAUUACUGACACUCAGAGACGAAAGCUAGGGGAGCAAAUGGGAUUAGAUACCCCAGUAGUCCUAGCCGUAAACGAUGGAUUCUCGAUGUUGGACGUAUCGACCCGUUCAGUAUCUUAGCUAACGCGUUAAGUAUCCCGCCUGGGAAGUACGCUCGCAAGAGUGAAACUCAAAGGAAUUGACGGAAACUCAAAGGAAUUGACGGAAACUCAAAGGAAUUGACGG
rnacentral:rRNA from 1 species